rnacentral:rRNA from 1 species
UACGGAGGGGGCUAGCGUUGUUCGGAAUUACUGGGCGUAAAGAGCGCGUAGGCGGCUUACCAAGUUGGGGGUGAAAUCCCGGAGCUCAACUCCGGAACUGCCUUCAAAACUGGUAGGCUCGAGUCCGAAAGAGGCGCGUGGAAUUCCCAGUGUAGAGGUGAAAUUCGUAGAUAUUGGGAAGAACACCGGUGGCGAAGGCGGCGCCCUGGUCCAGUACUGACGCUGAGGCGCGCAAGCGUGCGGAGAAAACAGG